rnacentral:tRNA from 1 species
GCCACUUUAGCUCAGUUGGUAGAGCGGCUCACUCGUAAUGAGCAGGUCAGCGGUUCGAGUCCGCUAAGUGGCUCCA